rnacentral:rRNA from 1 species
AAAUUGAAGAGUUUGAUCAUGGCUCAGAUUGAACGCUGGCGGCAGGCCUAACACAUGCAAGUCGAACGGUAACAGGAAGCAGCUUGCUGUUUUGCUGACGAGUGGCGGACGGGUGAGUAAUGUCUGGGAAACUGCCUGAUGGAGGGGGAUAACUACUGGAAACGGUGGCUAAUACCGCAUAACGUCGCAAGACCAAAGAGGGGGACCUUCGGGCCUCUUGCCAUCAGAUGUGCCCAGAUGGGAUUAGCUUGUUGGUGAGGUAACGGCUCACCAAGGCGACGAUCCCUAGCUGGUCUGAGAGGAUGACCAGCCACACUGGAACUGAGACACGGUCCAGACUCCUACGGGAGGCAGCAGUGGGGAAUAUUGCACAAUGGGCGCAAGCCUGAUGCAGCCAUGCCGCGUGUAUGAAGAAGGCCUUCGGGUUGUAAAGUACUUUCAGCGGGGAGGAAGGUGUUGUGGUUAAUAACCGCAGCAAUUGACGUUACCCGCAGAAGAAGCACCGGCUAACUCCGUGCCAGCAGCCGCGGUAAUACGGAGGGUGCAAGCGUUAAUCGGAAUUACUGGGCGUAAAGCGCACGCAGGCGGUCUGUCAAGUCGGAUGUGAAAUCCCCGGGCUCAACCUGGGAACUGCAUUCGAAACUGGCAGGCUUGAGUCUUGUAGAGGGGGGUAGAAUUCCAGGUGUAGCGGUGAAAUGCGUAGAGAUCUGGAGGAAUACCGGUGGCGAAGGCGGCCCCCUGGACAAAGACUGACGCUCAGGUGCGAAAGCGUGGGGAGCAAACAGGAUUAGAUACCCUGGUAGUCCACGCCGUAAACGAUGUCUACUUGGAGGUUGUGCCCUUGAGGCGUGGCUUCCGGAGCUAACGCGUUAAGUAGACCGCCUGGGGAGUACGGCCGCAAGGUUAAAACUCAAAUGAAUUGACGGGGGCCCGCACAAGCGGUGGAGCAUGUGGUUUAAUUCGAUGCAACGCGAAGAACCUUACCUGGUCUUGACAUCCACAGAACUUUCCAGAGAUGGAUUGGUGCCUUCGGGAACUGUGAGACAGGUGCUGCAUGGCUGUCGUCAGCUCGUGUUGUGAAAUGUUGGGUUAAGUCCCGCAACGAGCGCAACCCUUAUCCUUUGUUGCCAGCGGUCCGGCCGGGAACUCAAAGGAGACUGCCAGUGAUAAACUGGAGGAAGGUGGGGAUGACGUCAAGUCAUCAUGGCCCUUACGACCAGGGCUACACACGUGCUACAAUGGCGCAUACAAAGAGAAGCGACCUCGCGAGAGCAAGCGGACCUCAUAAAGUGCGUCGUAGUCCGGAUUGGAGUCUGCAACUCGACUCCAUGAAGUCGGAAUCGCUAGUAAUCGUGGAUCAGAAUGCCACGGUGAAUACGUUCCCGGGCCUUGUACACACCGCCCGUCACACCAUGGGAGUGGGUUGCAAAAGAAGUAGGUAGCUUAACCUUCGGGAGGGCGCUUACCACUUUGUGAUUCAUGACUGGGGUGAAGUCGUAACAAGGUAACCGUAGGGGAACCUGCGGUUGGAUCACCUCCUUACCUUAAAGAAGC